CUACGGGAGGCAGCAGUGGGGAAUAUUGCACAAUGGGCGAAAGCCUGAUGCAGCGACGCCGCGUGAGGGAUGACGGCCUUCGGGUUGUAAACCUCUUUCAGUAGGGAAGAAGCGAAAGUGACGGUACCUGCAGAAGAAGCGCCGGCUAACUACGUGCCAGCAGCCGCGGUAAUACGUAGGGCGCAAGCGUUAUCCGGAAUUAUUGGGCGUAAAGAGCUCGUAGGCGGUUUGUCGCGUCUGCCGUGAAAGUCCGGGGCUCAACUCCGGAUCUGCGGUGGGUACGGGCAGACUAGAGUGAUGUAGGGGAGACUGGAAUUCCUGGUGUAGCGGUGAAAUGCGCAGAUAUCAGGAGGAACACCGAUGGCGAAGGCAGGUCUCUGGGCAUUAACUGACGCUGAGGAGCGAAAGCAUGGGGAGCGAACAGGAUUAGAUACCCUGGUAGUCCAUGCCGUAAACGUUGGGCACUAGGUGUGGGGGACAUUCCACGUUUUCCGCGCCGUAGCUAACGCAUUAAGUGCCCCGCCUGGGGAGUACGGCCGCAAGGCUAAAACUCAAAGGAAUUGACGGGGGCCCGCACAAGCGGCGGAGCAUGCGGAUUAAUUCGAUGCAACGCGAAGAACCUUACCAAGGCUUGACAUGAACCGGAAAUACCUGGAAACAGGUGCCCCGCUUGCGGUCGGUUUACAGGUGGUGCAUGGUUGUCGUCAGCUCGUGUCGUGAGAUGUUGGGUUAAGUCCCGCAACGAGCGCAACCCUCGUUCUAUGUUGCCAGCGCGUUAUGGCGGGGACUCAUAGGAGACUGCCGGGGUCAACUCGGAGGAAGGUGGGGACGACGUCAAAUCAUCAUGCCCCUUAUGUCUUGGGCUUCACGCAUGCUACAAUGGCCGGUACAAAGGGUUGCGAUACUGUGAGGUGGAGCUAAUCCCAAAAAGCCGGUCUCAGUUCGGAUUGGGGUCUGCAACUCGACCCCAUGAAGUCGGAGUCGCUAGUAAUCGCAGAUCAGCAACGCUGCGGUGAAUACGUUCCCGGGCCUUGUACACACCGCCCGUCAAGUCACGAAAGUUGGUAACACCCGAAGCCGGUGGCCUAACCCCUUGUGGGAGGGAGCGUCGAAGGUG
rnacentral:rRNA from 1 species